AUUGAACGCUGGCGGCAUGCUUUACACAUGCAAGUCGAACGGUAACAGGCCACAAGGUGCUGACGAGUGGCGAACGGGUGAGUAAUGCAUCGGAACGUGCCCAGUCGUGGGGGAUAACGCAGCGAAAGCUGCGCUAAUACCGCAUACGAUCUAUGGAUGAAAGCGGGGGACCGUAAGGCCUCGCGCGAUUGGAGCGGCCGAUGUCAGAUUAGGUAGUUGGUGGGGUAAAGGCUCACCAAGCCAACGAUCUGUAGCUGGUCUGAGAGGACGACCAGCCACACGGGGACUGGGAAACGGCCCAGACUCCUACGGGAGGCAGCAGUGGGGAAUUUUGGACAAUGGGCGCAAGCCUGAUCCAGCAAUGCGGCGUGCAGGAAGAAGGCCUUCGGGUUGUAAACUGCUUUUGUACGGAACGAAACGGUCCUGGUUAAUACCUGGGGCUAAUGACGGUACCGUAAGAAUAAGCACCGGCUAACUACGUGCCAGCCGCCGCCGUAAUAC
rnacentral:rRNA from 1 species